AUACAGAGGGUGCAAGCGUUAAUCGGAAUUACUGGGCGUAAAGCGCGCGUAGGCGGUUUAAUCAGUCGGAUGUGAAAGCCCCGGGCUCAACCUGGGAACUGCAUUCGAUACUGUUAAGCUAGAGUAUGGUAGAGGGAAGUGGAAUUCCAGGUGGAGCGGUGAAAUGCGUAGAUAUCUGGAGGAACAUCAGUGGCGAAGGCGACUUCCUGGACCAAUACUGACGCUGAGGUGCGAAAGCGUGGGGAGCAAACAGGAUUAGAAACCCUAGUAGUCC
rnacentral:rRNA from 1 species